CCAUAGGAUGAUCAAUUAUUAUCACGACGGUCAACAUAGCUCGACAGCUUUGAUGAUAUUGCCUUUGACAAGGCUUAAUAUCUGAAA
rnacentral:snoRNA from 1 species